rnacentral:lncRNA from 1 species
GAUAAUGUGGCUAACAAAGAAAAUAGGCUAAAUAAGGCUCAAAAGGGUUAAACCUACAAAACAAAGGCAUGGGAUGAAAGCUUUUUGGCUCUGGUUGUAACUACUAAACAACUUCAUCUUAUUAUAUGUUAUGCACUCAAUUUUAAGCUUUGAAUGAAACAGGCAUGAGUUUUAGUAUUUGGAACUAUAAUAAUGAAAACGCAUUCUAAGUAGCAACCAAGCAAAGAAUAAUGAGAUUAUGCAACGACUUUAGAAAAUAAGAAAUCACAGAUCAAUAACUUUCCAAAUAAAGUAUAGGCUCAAGUCUUUGAGGAUUGUAGCGUUAGUUUGAGUUCCUUCCUUCAAGCAUGUUACAAAAAAUGAUUUUGUACUUUGUGAUUACAUGUGAAUUCGUUAAUGACAAUUACAACCAAACAUUAACCAAAGAGCAUAUCAAACUUCCACCCAUGUUUGUAACUUUCUUUAACAGUCAUACAAUUAAAAAUCAAAUCCUCAUCAUUGUGUUGGAAGGUACCCUAAGAUACAAACAAACAAAAACAACUCUAAAACGAUUUUUUUUGGGUUUUUCAAAACUUUUUCUAUUUUUUUUCUUCAAAUUUUCGUAUUUUUCUUUCAAAACACACUAAAGCACUUCAAAACACACUAAAAACAUUUAAAAAUAGUGAGAAACAACUCUAGAAAUGCUAGGUGGUAAAAUCCUACGAAUUUCCAACAAAAACACUUGUUUACCCCCCCCACACUUAAACCAAACAUUGUCCUCAAUGUUUUAAACAUAAACUCACACAUAAGCAAACAAACAACACAACUAACAAACAUGACAAUUAUGGCAAAGAAAAAGUAAUAAAGAGUAAAGUUGAAGAACGCAAAUCUGGUUAUGGAGCUGAAGAUUCAUAGGUCUUCUUUAUUUGAACGCAUGGGUUGUCUCCCAAGAAGCACUUGCUUUAACAACCAGUUGAAUGAUACCUCCUUUUUAAGUUUUAUUGGAAACCACGGCAUGGAAGGGUAUUUCCUCCACAACCUGCCCCUCGAAACACUUCAUACUUUGGAUCUUUGAAUGGAAAACGAUAGUGAUCCUUCUUGCUUGUGGUAUUUUGCUUC